CCAACGUAGGCGACUCUCUCUCCCUCUGGUGGUGGGGCCCAAGCAGCAACACCAGCUUUGACUUGGAGAUUCUGCUUCCGGGUCGUCUUGGGCCGGUUUUUGUGGUCGUCCGGGUCCCGGCGGUGAACGCCAAGCUGGGGCGAGGCUGGUUUUGAGAUCUGAGCCUGCGCAUAGGGAUGGGAAACCCGAGAAAGAAUCCAGUGUUUGUUAAGGGUCCCUGCGUGGUCUGUUAAAUCUCUCCACCACCGGGUGAGGCAUGUACUGUUACCAUUUACAGCAUAUUACAUUAAUUGAUUUUUGGGAUGUUAAACCAACUUCGCAUUCUUGGAGAAAAGUCCACUUGACCAUGCAUUUUGAGGACAUUCUACUGCCUUCUGGCCUCCGUGAUUUCUGAUAAGGAAUCAACUGUUAAGCUUAUCGGGGAUUCCUUGUACAUGGACCGUUCGUCUCGUCGGCAGGCUCUGACAAGUGGCGCCUGAACAGGGACCUGAAUACUGGGGAUAAAGUGAAGGGCACCGCACGGAAUUGAGACGUGCAUCGAAACAGGUAAGGGGUGCGGUGAGAUACCAUAGUCGGGAGUAAUAAAUUAUGGGACAGGGAAACAGUAAACGGCUGUGUACCCAUAUGUUGAAGAGCAUGCUAAAAGCUAGAGGAGUAAAAACCAGUAAAGCACAGUUGCUUAGAUUUCUAGAAUUUGUAGAACAAGUAUGUCCUUGGUUUCCUGAGGAAGGGACUUUAGAUAUAGAAACUUGGAAAAAGGUGAGGGAUCCUUUACAGGGAUAUUAUGACGUUCAUGGACCCUCUAAGGUACCAGUGGAUCUCUCCACCUUACUUUUUUAUUUUUUGUAUUUGCUUUUAUUUUUUUUACUUUGAUGCCUUUUCAAAUUGGCAUGUCUUUAAAGUAUUUUUUUUCCCUUGAGUAAAAAUGGGUGUGUGUGUGUGUGUGUGUGUGUGUGUAUAAACAUGUAUAUAUAUUUUAAAUCAUAUUAACUUGACCAAGUAAAACCAAGCCAUACUGUUUUUGAGCCAAUUAAGAAAAUUGCCAUUUUUAAAGUGUAGUAUUUCAGGAUGGUUAAACACACAUGAAAUGACUCAAUAUUCUCUGGAUUACUGAAAGAAAACCACCUUAAAGAUUGUGUUGAAAGUUUUAGUGUUGCCUAAAAAGCAAGAGGGCAGAGGAAAGGCAGUUGACUGGUAAUAAGUAAGGAAAAAAAAAAAUAA